CCUACGGGAGGCAGCAGUGAGGAAUAUUGGUCAAUGGACGCGAGUCUGAACCAGCCAAGUAGCGUGAAGGAUGACUGCCCUAUGGGUUGUAAACUUCUUUUAUAUGGGAAUAAAAUGUUCCACGUGUGGGAUUUUGUAUGUACCAUAUGAAUAAGGAUCGGCUAACUCCGUGCCAGCAGCCGCGGUAAUACGGAGGAUCCGAGCGUUAUCCGGAUUUAUUGGGUUUAAAGGGAGCGUAGGUGGAUUGUUAAGUCAGUUGUGAAAGUCUGCGGCUCAACCGUAGCAUUGCAGUUGAAACUGGCAGUCUUGAGUACAGUAGAGGUAGGCGGAAUUCGUGGUGUAGCGGUGAAAUGCUUAGAUAUCACGAAGAACUCCGAUUGCGAAGGCAGCUCACUGGACUGCAACUGACACUGAGGCUCGAAAGUGUGGGUAUCGAACAGGAUUAGAUACCCCAGUAGUC
rnacentral:rRNA from 1 species